UCAAGCUAAAAAGGGCGCAAGGUGAAUGCCUUGGCACUGGGAGCCGAUGAAAGACGUGGUAAGCUGCGAAAAGCUUCGGGGAGGAGCAAACAUCCAUUGAUCCGGAGAUAUCUGAAUGGGGCAACCCAAUGGAGUUCAUACUCCAUUAUCCAAUACUGAAUCCAUAGGUAUUGGAAGGGAACCGCCUGAACUGAAACAUCUAAGUAGGGCGAGGAAGAGACAUCAAACGAGAUUCCGUAAGUAGUGGCGAGCGAACGCGGAAGAGGGCAAACCGAGAGGAGAAAUCCUUUCGGGGUACGGACUGCUUUUAGGGCUGGAAGAGUUAACAGAAUGGCAUGGGAAGGCCAACCGAAGAGUGUGAGAGUCACGUAAGUAAAAAUUCUGACAGCUGCGCAGGAUCCAGAGUACGGCCAGACACGUGAAACCUGGUCGGAAUAUGGGGGGACCACCCUCCAACCCUAAAUACUACCCAGUGACCGAUAGCGUAUAGUACUGUGAAGGAAAGGUGAAAAGGACCCCGGGAGGGGAGUGAAAGAGAACCUGAAACCUUGUGCCUACAAGCACAUAGAGCCCGUCAAAGGGUGAUAUGGUACUUUUUGUAGAACGGUCCGGCGAGCGAUUGUACGUUGCGAGCUUAAGGUCUUAAGGACUGGAGGCGUAGCGAGAGCGAGUCUAAACAGGGCGUUUAGUAGCGUGCAAUGGGCCCGAAACCGGGUGACCUACCCAUGAUCAGGCUGAAGUGAAAGUAAAAUUUCAUGGAGGGCCGAACCGACCUCCGUUGAAAAGGCGGCGGAUGAAUUGUGGGUAGCGGAGAAAUUCCAAUCGAACUCGGAGAUAGCUGGUUCUCCCCGAAAUAGCUUUAGGGCUAGCCUCAUGUUAGAUAUCCGGAGGUAAAGCACUGAAUGGCCUAGCGUCCGAGAGGAUAGCGAAGCCUAUCAAACUAAGAAUGCCGGAAUAUUGAUGCAUGGGAGUCAGACAGUGUGAGAUAAAUCUCAUUGUCAAAAGGGAAACAGCCCAGAUCUACAGCUAAGGUCCCAAAUUGUAUCUAAGUGGAAAACGAUGUGGAAAUACGCAGACAACCAGGAUGUUGGCUCAGAAGCAGCCACUCAUUUAAAGAGUGCGUAAUAGCUCACUGGUCGAGCGUCUCUGCGCGGAAAAUUUAACGGGGCUAAGAUACAAACCGAAGCUUAGGCUGCAUACGGAAGUAUGCGGGGUAGGGGAGCGUUGUGUAAGCGGAGAAACAGUAGCGGAAGCGGCUGUGGAGUUUACAGAAGUGAGAAUGCCGGAAUGAGUAGCGCGAAUGAUGUGAGAAUCAUCAUGGCCGGAAACCUCAGGUUUUUGGAGGAAGGUUCGUCCGCUCCAAGUUAGGCGGGAGCUAAGGUGAGGCCGAAAGGCGUAGCCGAUGCACAGACGGUAGAGAUUCCGUCCCCACCGAAAGAUUUAAGCGCAGGGACACUUUUAGAAGGUCGGAGCCAGGUGUUGGUUCUGGUAGAGAUCGAGGGAAGAUUAGUACCGAAGUCCGGCUGGAUAAGAGGCGAGAAAAGCUGCGUGUAUAUCUAAGGUGCCCGUACCGCAAACCGACACAGGUAGGUAGGAAGAAGAUUCUAAGGCCAACGGGAGAAGGGUUGUUAAGGAACUCGGCAAGUUGACCCCGUAACUUCGGAAUAAGGGGUGCUCAUGAAAGUGAGCCGCAGAGAAUAGGCCCAGGCAACUGUUUACCAAAAACACAGGUUUGUGCUAAAUCGAAAGAUGACGUAUACGAGCUGACGCCUGCCCGGUGCUGGAAGGUUAAAAGGAGAUGUGCAAGCAUUGAAUUGAAGCCCCAGUGAACGGCGGCCGUAACUAUAACGGUCCUAAGGUAGCGAAAUUCCUUGUCAGGUAAGUUCUGACCCGCAUGAAAGGCGUAAUGAUCUGGGCACUGUCUCAACAGCCCGCCCGGCGAAAUUGUAGUACCGGUGAAGAUGCCGGUUACCCGCGACAA
rnacentral:rRNA from 1 species